GACAGAGGUGCCAGGCGUUAGGCGGAAUCACUGGGCUUAAAGCGUGUGUAGGCGGAUGUCAAGUACCUUGUGAAAUCCCACGGCUCAACCGUGGAACUGCUUGGUAUACUGGAUGUCUUGAGCCAUCUAGGGGCUACCGGAACAAAUGGUGGAGCGGUGAAAUGCGUAGAUAUCAUUUGGAACGCCAAUGGUGAAAACAGGUAGCUGGGGAUGUGCUGACGCUGAGACACGAAAGCCAGGGGAGCAAACGGG
rnacentral:rRNA from 1 species